rnacentral:sRNA from 1 species
CGGGGCCGGGCACUUCCGUCCGGCGCGCGGCGUCCUCCUCCCGCUCGGAAGGCUCCCCUGGCUCCAGCCCUAAGGUGCUCUCCCAGCCGUCUGACCUGGAUCUCCAAGACGUAGAGGAAGUGGAGAUCGGCAGAGACACCUUCUGGCCCGACUCCGAGCCCGAGCCGGAGCAGGCUCCACGCUCCCCCGGCUCUCAGGCCCCUGACGAGGGGGCGGGCGGGACGCUGCGCAGCCUCCUGAGGAGCCUUCCCCGCAGGGCCCGGUGCGGCGCCGGCUUCGGGCCUGAAUCCAGCGCGGAGCGGCCGGCGGGCCAGCCGCCUGGGGCCGUCCCUUGCGCCCAGCCGCGGGGCGCCUGGCGCGUGACACUCGUGCAGCAAGCUGCGGCCGGGCCCGAGGGUGCGUCCGAGCCGGCCGCCGAGCUGGGAGUCAACUUCG